GAAUGAAUAGCGUUAGCUAAUUGCAUCAUAUAUAUGAUGCAAUAUCGACUAUGUCGAAUAAAAUUCUGGUUAGAAUUAUGAUAAUGACAUUGUCUGACCGUGUGUCUUGACCAAAUUACGUGCCAGCAGUCGCGGUAAUACGUAGAAGACUAGUGUUAUUCAUCUUUAAUAGGUUUAAAGGGUACCCAGACGGUAAAUCAAGCCAUAAAAGGGACUAAUUUACUAGAGUUACUUACGUGGGGGUUUUAAAGUACUAAUGGUGUAGAGAUAAAAUUUUUUAAUACCAUUUUUCGAAAGAAAAGUUAUGGCACUGGUAAAGGCGAAAGCAUCCCCUUAUGUGAUAACUGACGUUAAAGAACGAAGGCUUUGGAUCGCGAAUAGGAUUAGAUACCCUAGUAGUCAAAGCAGAGAAUUAUGAGUGUCAUAGAUUAGAGAUAAAAUUUAUUCUAUAAAUGAAAGUGUAAGCACUCCACCUCAAGAGUAAUUUGGCAACAUUGGAACUGAAAUCAUUAGACCGUUUCUGAA
rnacentral:rRNA from 1 species